CUAGGCCAAAGUUUUCUUGAGUGCACUGAACUCCCAAUGGUCAUCUUUACUGGCAAAGGCCCCUUGCUCAGGCAAGGUUCAAGACAAAAAAGCUGAAAGGUUCAUAUGAGUUGAUUCAGUAAAUCCUUGCCAAUGGUCUAUUUAUAGAAAUUUCACUUUGAAUCUGAAGCAGUUUCUUAUGCUGAAUGCGGAGGGAGCCUUAAGGUACAAUUAUGCACAGAGAGACCACAGCAGAGCAAGGAAGAGGAUGAUGGGAUUCAACAAAGCACUGUGUACCAGGUUUAGAAGAAGUUACAGCCAUGCUUCCUCUUGUCAAACUCAAAAUCCCUUGAAGGUGAAAGCCUUGGGUGGAACAGUGGAAAAUUGAAAUACAAGGCAAAAAUAAAAGGUGAAGUUACAAAGCAAAGGAGGACAAGGAUUCUACACUGGAAAUAGAUGAUCCACUUUCUGCCCUAUAGAGUUUUUGAGAGGGAAUAGAAUGAUAGACAACUAUGGCUCACAGAGUAUCCAGGAAGUGGACGGUGAAGAUCUUGGAGAGGUAAUGUCUGCUCUGCCUCAAGGGACUUGAGGGGCUGAGUGCAAGAAUGGUGUAAACACAGAGACUCCAUGUCAGGCACAUAUGUGUACUAGUAACACUACCUAAAGAGCUGCAAAGAGCCGGAAAUAGGAAAGUAAUAAAAAUAUCAAUUACUCCCAGUUUGUCCAGCCAGCAACAAACAAGAAGGUUUCUUUCUUCCCUUAGUAAGUUGUUGCUCUAAUUAGUGACUGCUGGGAGCAUUAAUGAACUAAAUGAUGUUCAGGUUUUAGGAGGGGCUAACACACAUCUCUCUCUCUUAAAAGGAGGUCAGAGAAGGAACUCAUGCUGUUAUUUUUUUUCUUAACAUUAAUGUAUUAAACAUUAUUUAGCUAAGCAAUUUGGAUUUCAUAUUUAAGCAUAUAAAUCACAAGUGUGUUAACUGUCUUCCUUACUGGCACCAUUAAAAUAAGACAAAUACAUUGCUAGUGAGAAAUGUGAUGAUUAGUGGCUUACAUGUCAAAAGAGAUUCAAAAGAUUCACUGUUAGAAUGCUUUUAGAUAUAAAAUAUAAGUAGAUAGUUAUUGUAACCACAUAGUAUCUGUACAGAAAUCUAAAGUGCCCAUUAAUCUAAGGGUUUUUUUUUUUUAAAAAAACUUCUAUUUUUCUUGUU